UCCUUAUUGGAGAAUAUUUUGGAGAUUGUUGGUUUGGUGUGCUCCUUUCUAUGUACUUAGUAAUACCGACCGAGCCAAUAUUUUGCAGAAAGUUUGAUUUAUGCACAAUACCCGCUUUAUGCUCACGUAGGGCUUAGAACUUGUAAACAUCAUGCUUGGGGAAGACUAAAGCUUCUUCAGUGAUCGAGACACGCAUCGCAACAAGGAGCCUGCAAAGGUGUAGCACUCGGUACUAGUAAAACUCCUACAGAGGACUUUUGCAAGACAACUCCCUUAUUAUGCUCAAGCUGAGGGAAGUUUAUAUCAAAACUCUUCUUGGAUUCGAGAGCAAUGAGAGAUAAAAUCAGAGCUAGGUGCUGGUGCAAGUGAAUGGACUUGAUAAAUAACCCCAUGUCCUAGCUGGUUUUAGAAUCUUUCCCUUCUUCCCCACCACAUGAUCAAGGGAAGAACAAGCAGACGACCUAUUAUCCCCAAACACAAUAACAUUGGACAUCUUACCCCUAUCAACUCAGACAAGGGAAUGAGUAUUUUCCACAAUGAGUCCUCAGGAUGCGGAUUGUCCGUCCUUGCCUUAAUAGAAUAUGGAUGGGGACUAUGUGGUUUUGCUGAUGGUAGUUUACAGGCAUGUGGUCAUUGGACUCUUAAUUGAGAGAUCAACAUUGGGUGUUAUGGGAAUGUAAAUUGUUCCUACGAUGAAAGGAGCAAAUGAACCCAUUUAUCCUCUACUUGUUCGAGAGGCGGCUUAAGAGAAGAGAGGUGAACUACCCCACAACAGAGUCUUCAGAGUGUUGGGGUGAAUUUUUAAGUUAAAAUGUCAAAAGAGAACAAAACAAACUCUAGAGAGCUUCAAGGAUCAGUCUGCCAGGUUGUAUUCGUGAACAUAGCUUUAUUUUAGUUUUAGGGAUUAU
rnacentral:lncRNA from 1 species